rnacentral:rRNA from 1 species
CGGGACGGGCGAGUAACGCGUGGGUAACCUGCCUCAUACAGGGGGAUAACAGUUAGAAAUGACUGCUAAUACCGCAUAAGACCACAGUACUGCAUGGUACAGUGGUAAAAACUCCGGUGGUAUGAGAUGGACCCGCGUCUGAUUAGGUAGUUGGUGAGGUAACGGCCCACCAAGCCGACGAUCAGUAGCCGACCUGAGAGGGUGACCGGCCACAUUGGGACUGAGACACGGCCCAA